rnacentral:rRNA from 1 species
CCUGUUUAUCAAAAACAUUGCCUCUCGACUCAACAAUGAGAGGUUCAUCCUGCCCAAUGACAACAUAGUUCAAUGGCCGCGGUACCCUGCCCGUGCAAAGGUAGCAUAAUCACUUGCCCCUUAAUUAGGGGCUGGCAUGAAAGGACACACGAAAGCUUCCCUGUCUCACAAUAACAAAUAAAAAUUAAUCUUCAAGUGAAAAAGCUUGAAUCAAACUGCAGGACAAGAAGACCCCGUUGAGCUUUAUUCUCUAUAGACUAAAUUAAAUAUUAAAUAUAUCAUAAACCUAAAAAGAAUUUAGUUGGGGUGACUAAGGAACACCAAAAACUUCCUUUUAUUAAUUAGGAUCAUUCUCCAUACAAAUUGACCCAUUACACAUGAUCAAAAAAAUAAGCUACCACAGGGAUAACAGGCUAAUCUUUCUCAAGAGCCCAAAUUGUCAGAAAGGAUUGGCACCUCGAUGUUGGCUUAGGGGCCCCUAAUGGUGCAGAAGCCAUAAAUGGUAGGUUUGUUCAACCUUUAAAACCCUACGUGAUCUGAGUUCAGAC